UACAGGGGGUGCAAACGUUGCUCGGAAUUAUUGGGCGUAAAGCGCGCGUAGGCGGCCACUUAAGUCGGAUGUGAAAGCCCCUGGCUCAACUGGGGAAGUGCACCCGAAACUGAAUGGCUUGAGUGCAAAAGAGGGCCGCGGAAUUCCCGGUGUAGAGGUGAAAUUCGUAGAUAUCGGGAGGAACACCGGUGGCGAAGGCGGCGGCCUGGGUUGACACUGACGCUGAGGCGCGAAAGCGUGGGGAGCAAACAGG
rnacentral:rRNA from 1 species